AACCGGGGGGCGAGCCCGGCCAGCGCGGCGUUGCGCUCGUCGUCGAGCGGGUGGCCGUGAUGGGUGAGUUCGACGCUCACCCGGUCAC
rnacentral:tRNA from 1 species